CCGGCUCCGGUUCACGCCCCAGCAUCCGUUGCGGACGACCCGGCGCC
rnacentral:ncRNA from 1 species